rnacentral:snoRNA from 1 species
ACGACCUUACUUGAACAGGAUCUGUUCUAUAGGAUCGUACUACUAUCGUCUUUAGUAUUAUAAAGACUAGUCAAUAAGUCUGGUGGAUGACAAAUAACUCCAUGAUCAGAGCGUGAUUAACGGAUAUAAUAGUUUACCAUUAAAUCUGUAGAUGAUCGUUCUCAAAUUGGUUCCACCAUUGUGAGAUGGUCUUGGGGUUCUCUGACAGAUU